GAUGAACGCUGGCGGCGUGCCUAAUACAUGCAAGUCGAGCGAACAGAUGAGGAGCUUGCUCCUCUGACGUUAGCGGCGGACGGGUGAGUAACACGUGGAUAACCUACCUAUAAGACUGGGAUAACUUCGGGAAACCGGAGCUAAUACCGGAUAAUAUAUUGAACCGCAUGGUUCAAUAGUGAAAGACGGUUUUGCUGUCACUUAUAGAUGGAUCCGCGCCGCAUUAGCUAGUUGGUAAGGUAACGGCUUACCAAGGCAACGAUGCGUAGCCGACCUGAGAGGGUGAUCGGCCACACUGGAACUGAGACACGGUCCAGACUCCUACGGGAGGCAGCAGUAGGGAAUCUUCCGCAAUGGGCGAAAGCCUGACGGAGCAACGCCGCGUGAGUGAUGAAGGUCUUCGGGUCGUAAAACUCUGUUAUUAGGGAAGAACAAAUGUGUAAGUAACUAUGCACGUCUUGACGGUACCUAAUCAGAAAGCCACGGCUAACUACGUG
rnacentral:rRNA from 1 species